AGGGAUUAAGAGUGGGGAAUGGCGAUACAUAGGCUAGAUGCGAGUUAACGGUCAGCAUGGCACAAUGUUUAAGGGAAUUCUGAGAGGAAUGGCCCCCCACACUGGUACUGAGACACGAUCAGACUCUACGGGAGGCAGCAGUACGAAAUAUUGGUCAAUGGGCGGAAGCUGAACCAGCCAUGCCGCGUGCAGGAAGACGGCCCUACGGGUUGUAAACUGCUUUUAUACGGGAAUAAACCCUGAUACGUGUAUCAAGCUGAAUGUACUGUAAGAAUAAGGAUCGGCUAACUCCGUGCCAGCAGCCGCGGUAAUACGGAGGAUCCAAGCGUUAUCCGGAUUUAUUGGGUUUAAAGGGUGCGUAGGCGGCUUGUUAAGUCAGAGGUGAAAGGCGGUAGCUUAACUAUCGGAGUGCCUUUGAUACUGAUGAGCUUGAAUGCAGCUGAGGUAGGCGGAAUGUGACAAGUAGCGGUGAAAUGCAUAGAUAUGUCACAGAACACCGAUUGCGAAGGCAGCUUACUAAAGUGUGAUUGACGCUGAGGCACGAAAGCGUGGGGAUCAAACAGGAUUAGAUACCCUGGUAGUCCACGCCCUAAACGAUGAAUACUCGAUGUUGGCGAUAUACGGUCAGCGUCUAAGCGAAAGCGUUAAGUAUUCCACCUGGGGAGUACGCCCGCAAGGGUGAAACUCAAAGGAAUUGACGGGGGCCCGCACAAGCGGAGGAGCAUGUGGUUUAAUUCGAUGAUACGCGAGGAACCUUACCCGGGCUUGAAAGUUAGUGAAUGAGACAGAGACGUCUCAGUCCUUCGGGACACGAAACUAGGUGCUGCAUGGCUGUCGUCAGCUCGUGCCGUGAGGUGUUGGGUUAAGUCCCGCAACGAGCGCAACCCCUAUGUUUAGUUGCCAGCACAUAAUGGUGGGGACUCUAAACAGACUGCCUAUGCAAAUAGAGAGGAAGGAGGGGACGACGUCAAGUCAUCAUGGCCCUUACGUCCGGGGCUACACACGUGCUACAAUGGAUGGUACAGAGGGCAGCUACCUGGCAACAGGAUGCCAAUCUCAAAAAGCCAUUCACAGUUCGGAUCGGGGUCUGCAACUCGACCCCGUGAAGUUGGAUUCGCUAGUAAUCGCGUAUCAGCAAUGACGCGGUGAAUACGUUCCCGGGCCUUGUACACACCGCCCGUCAAGCCAUGGAAGCUGGGGGUGCCUGAAGUGCGUAACCGUAAGGAGCGCCCUAGGUAAUUCCCC
rnacentral:rRNA from 1 species